GUGGGAGGCUUUGAAGUGUGGACGCCAGUCUGCAUGGAGCCGACCUUGAAAUACCACCCUUUAAUGUUUGAUGUUCUAACGUUGGCCCCUUACCGGGGUUGCGGACAGUGUCUGGUGGGUAGUUUGACUGGGGCGGUCUCCUCCUAAAGAGUAACGGAGGAGCACGAAGGUUGGCUAAUCCUGGUCGGACAUCAGGAGGUUAGUGCAAUGGCAUAAGCCAGCUUGACUGCGAGCGUGACGGCGCGAGCAGGUGCGAAAGCAGGUCAUAGUGAUCCGGUGGUUCUGAAUGGAAGGGCCAUCGCUCAACGGAUAAAAGGUACUCCGGGGAUAACAGGCUGAUACCGCCCAAGAGUUCAUAUCGACGGCGGUGUUUGGCACCUCGAUGUCGGCUCAUCACAUCCUGGGGCUGAAGUAGGUCCCAAGGGUAUGGCUGUUCGCCAUUUAAAGUGGUACGCGAGCUGGGUUUAGAACGUCGUGAGACAGUUCGGUCCCUAUCUGCCGUGGGCGCUGGAGAACUGAGGGGGGCUGCUCCUAGUACGAGAGGACCGGAGUGGACGCAUCACUGGUGUUCGGGUUGUCAUGCCAAUGGCACUGCCCGGUAGCUAAAUGCGGAAGAGAUAAGUGCUGAAAGCAUCUAAGCACGAAACUUGCC
rnacentral:rRNA from 1 species